rnacentral:rRNA from 1 species
AUACGUAGGGAGUAAGCGUUGUCCGGAUUUAUUGGGUUUAAAGGGAGCGUAGGCGGGAUAUCAAGUCAGCUGUGAAAUGUAGAUGCUCAACAUCUGCACUGCAGUUGAAACUGGUGUUCUUGAGUGCGUAAGAGGUAGGCGGAAUUCGUCGUGUAGCGGUGAAAUGCAUAGAUAUGACGAAGAACUCCGAUUGCGAAGGCAGCUUACUGGGCCGCAACUGACGCUGAAGCUCGAAGGUGCGGGUAUC